rnacentral:lncRNA from 1 species
UCCACAAUUCUCUUAGUAUCCUAAAGGUCACAAGAGAAGAGAUACCCAUACGUUACGAACAACCCUAUGAGCAAUCAUUAAGCAUCUAAGGCAAAGGGGCUAAAAGCUCACCUAUAGAGUAAAAAUCCUUCACAAGCUCCAAAAGGGAGCUAGAACCCUUCCAAUCCAACCUAGAGGAAAGUUCUAAUCCAAGAGAUCAAGCUCCAAAAGCCCUAAAUCCAAAAUGCCCAAAAUCAACCCUAAGUUUCCAAUCUAGGGUUUCAUCUCAAAUCCAUCAUCAAAACAAGAAAUCUAGAGGAAAGAACAAGUUGCUUACCUCUUAG